rnacentral:rRNA from 1 species
CAGUAGCCGCGGUAACACAGAGGGUGCGAGCGUUAAUCGGAUUUACUGGGCGUAAAGCGUGCGUAGGCGGCUAAUUGAGUCGGAUGUGAAAUCCCCGAGCUUAACUUGGGAAUUGCAUUCGAUACUGGUUAGCUAGAGUGUGGGAGAGGAUGGUAGAAUUCCAGGUGUAGCGGUGAAAUGCGUAGAGAUCUGGAGGAAUACCGAUGGCGAAGGCAGCCAUCUGGCCUAACACUGACGCUGAGGUACGAAAGCAUGGGGAGCAAACAGGAUUAGAUACCCCAGUAGUCCCUGUCUCUUAUAC